GCAGAUCCAUUUUCUGCCACCGAAUACAUUAGCAUGGGAUAAUGGAAUAGGACCCUGUCCUCCUAUUUUCAGUUGGUUUUGGCAGCGCGAGGACUAGGGUAAUGAUUAAUAGGGAUAGUUGGGGGCAUUAAUAUUUAAUUGUCAGAGGUGAAAUUCUUGGAUUUAUGAAAGAUUAACUUCUGCGAAAGCAUCUGCCAAGGAUGUUUUCAUUAAUCAAGAACGAAAGUUAGGGGAUCGAAGACGAUCAGAUACCGUCGUAGUCUUAACCAUAAACGAUGCCGACCAGCGAUUAGGAGACGUUGAAUACAAAACACCACCAUCGGCGCGGUCGUCCUUGGCGUCUCGGUUUCUGGGGGGGCCCGGGGGCGGCUUCGCCCGGUGGCACCGGUAAAUGACUCCGCUUCCCCCU
rnacentral:rRNA from 1 species